rnacentral:rRNA from 1 species
AGCUGAGUUUGAUCCUGGCUCAGGAUGAACGCUAGCGGGAGGCUUAAUACAUGCAAGUCGAGCGGCAAGGUCUUCGGACCCCUAGAGCGGCGCACGGGUGAGUAACGCGUACGCAAUCUGCCCUUCAGUGAGGAAUAGCCCGUGGGAAACUGGGGAUUAAUACCUCAUAACAUUAUGAUAUCGCAUGAUAUUAUAAUUAAAGUUCUGGCGCUGAAGGAUGAGCGUGCGUC